rnacentral:rRNA from 1 species
UACGUAGGGGGCAAGCGUUGUCCGGAUUUAUUGGGCGUAAAGAGCGUGUAGGCGGCUAGGUAGGUCCGUUGUGAAAACUCGAGGCUCAACCUCAAGACGCCGAUGGAAACCAUCUGGCUAGAGUCCGGAAGAGGAGAGUGGAAUUCCUGGUGUAGCGGUGAAAUGCGCAGAUAUCAGGAAGAACACCCGUGGCUAAGGCGGCUCUCUAGUACGGUACUGACGCUGAGACGCGAAAGCGUGGGGAGCGAACAGG